AUUGAACGCUGGCGGCAGGCUUAACACAUGCAAGUCGAGCGGGGGAGGUUGCUUCGGUAACUGACCUAGCGGCGGACGGGUGAGUAAUACUUAGGAAUCUGCCUAUUAAUGGGGGACAACAUCUCGAAAGGGAUGCUAAUACCGCAUACGCCCUACGGGGGAAAGCAGGGGAUCACUUGUGACCUUGCGUUAAUAGAUGAGCCUAAGUCGGAUUGGCUAGUUGGUGGGGUAAAGGCCUACCAAGGCGACGAUCUGUAGCGGGUCUGAGAGGAUGAUCCGCCACACUGGGACUGAGACACGGCCCAGACUCCUACGGGAGGCAGCAGUGGGGAAUAUUGGACAAUGGGGGGAACCCUGAUCCAGCCAUGCCGCGUGUGUGAAGAAGGCCUUAUGGUUGUAAAGCACUUUAAGCGAGGAGGAGGCUCUUUUGGUUAAUACCCAAGAUGAGUGGACGUUACUCGCAGAAUAAGCACCGGCUAACUCUGUGCCAGCCGCCGCGGUAAGAC
rnacentral:rRNA from 1 species